CAACUUCUUUUCUGAUUCGCAGUAUUCUUCUGCGGAUGAAAAGGAUUUGAUCUCAUCUUCCGCAAACAACAUUUUGAUAUUUAUUUUUUAUCUUUAUUUCCAAAGAAAAGAAAAAGAUCUGAUCUUUUGGUUAUUGUUUGACUUAUACGUUUAAUUUGUCUACGCAUUUUGGGGAUUUAUUAGCUCUGAUAUCUAAUGGUUUCGGAUGAGUAAGUUUGCUGAAAUCCUGUUUAUGGGGCGACUUGUUUUUGUUCUUCUUUUGGUUGACAUUGCUGCUACGAUUGAUGCCCGAUGAUGGAAGAUCUAAUAUCGUUAGCGGCUUAUGUGGUUUUAUAUUGAGCACUGAUGCAUGCUGCUUCAUCACCUCCACUUAUCCUCUUCUUCUUCUUCUUCUUCUUCUUCUUCUUCUUCUUCGAAGCCAUGUGAAGGUGCUCAAUAAGUAAAGCCACUCACUAAGCCUCGAUGAAUGCGAAAAGCUAUGAGAUCUGAGGGCUUCAUUAACCAAAGUCAUCUAUCAUAUAGAUAAAGGAAGACAGGAGAAAUAGUAUUUCUUGCUUUGCCAAAUCGACUUCUUUGUUAAACAGAGUGCUGUGAACAUGACUCUUUACCUGUCCACCUGUCCACCUGUUCUUAUGUUGUUGGCAUUGUUGAUAUUUGGGGUGGAACAGGUCUUAUGUUUAAGCAGGACUAAGGAUGACUAAGGAGCUCAAUGUUUCUUACACCGAAAUCGAAUUGCAUACCCUAAAAUUCUUAUAGUUUUGUAAAGGGAAUGGCUGUAGUUCACUGUAUUUUUUUAUGGGCGACCUCAUAUUGUUGUACAAUUUAGAGGGUAAUGGUUGGUCUUAUUUUGGAAAGUUUCCGUGUACUAAAUUAUUUUGCAAUGGUAAUGGAUGUCUAUUUUCAGCAAAAAGAAAGAA